UUAGUCUUUUAAUUUGAGACUGGAAUGAAAGAGUAAACUGAGAGGAUUUUUUUUAAUUUUAGAAAAUGAAUUUUACUUUUUAGUAAAAAGGCUAAAAUGUUUCUUUUAGACAAGAAGACCCUAUAAAACUUUAUAUUUUAUAUUUUUAGGAAAAAAAUAAAAUAUUUCACUGGGGCGGUGGAGAAAAGAAGCUUUCUCUAAAUUUAUGAACUUUCAAGUUUUUAUACCUAGAAAUUCUAAAGAAGGAAUGAGUUACUUUAGGGAUAACAGCUUAAUUCACUUAGAAAGUUCUAAUUGACAAGUGAGAUUAUGACCUCGAUGUUGAAUUAAAAUACCUCUAAUAUGCAAAAGUUAGGAGGA
rnacentral:rRNA from 1 species